AUACGGAGGGUGCAAGCGUUAAUCGGAAUUACUGGGCGUAAAGCGCGCGUAGGCGGCUUAUUAAGUCAGAUGUGAAAUCCCCGGGCUCAACCUGGGAACUGCAUCUGAUACUGGUAAGCUAGAGUUUGAGAGAGGGAAGUAGAAUUUCAGGUGUAGCGGUGAAAUGCAUAGAGAUCUGAAGGAAUACCAGUGGCGAAGGCGACUUCCUGGCCAAAAACUGACGCUGAGGUGCGAAAGCGUGGGUAGCAAACGGAAUUAGAAACCCCAGUAGUCC
rnacentral:rRNA from 1 species